GUCUGGGAGGGGGUUUGAAGCCGCAGAAGCCAGGUCCCUGCAGUGGUAGGGUCCCUCCACUGCUUCUUGCCAGGCCUCCCACUCCGGGGGUCCCUUCUGAGAAAGAGGGUGGCUGGGGCCUGAAAUCCCAGCCCCCUCCCCCAGUGCAGGACGGCAAUUUCCCAGGUCAGUGCGCACUGGGGGGCCUGAGGGGCCCAGGAGGGACUGGGCCGGGCCGGGCUUCUCAGAAGUCCCCAUGCCUGCUCUCCAGCUGAAGUGGAGGCUUGUCACACAGCAAGUCAGCCGAGGAAUAGCCUGAACUCUGGCCCUGAGACCCCAUGUGGCCCCCCAGUAUGACAACUCCCUCAGCCCCUUCCCCGGUGGCCGUCUGCAGUGCUCCCAGCCCCCACCCUGGACUCACUCCUGUCCUGGCUUUCCUUCUAGUACCUUCUCCAGCCAUCCAGUGGGGACCGAAGCCUCCGAAAGCGGGUAUGAGUUAGUCUGCCUGACCCCCCACCACAUCAGGGUCACUCCUCCAUCUCCCUUGUCCCCCAGGCUGUCUCAGGUGUUCAGGCACCUUAAGACCAGGAAGUCCCUCUCGGAGUCUACCCUUGUUCUCUCUUGCUUCUUUCUUGCCUCCUUUAUUCUGGUUCCAUUCCCUGCAGACAGGGAGAGUUCCUUCCUCCUUAGAGAACCUAAGGUCCAGACUGGGCCUGCAAGGAGCUGGGAGAGUCUGGGUCCUCCCCAGGGAUCUGCAUUUUCCUCACAGGGUACCAGCCUGCGCUCGGCUACAGACCAGGAGUGGAACUGGGUGAGGAGGCCCUCUGCCUGCGUCCUCCCUUUCCCCUCCUCCCCUCCCCUCUUCCUCCCCUCCCCUCCCUGUCCUCCCCCAGCCCAGGAAGCACAGAGGCAAACCGAGCUCUCCGACCCCUGUGUCUUCUCCCCAGGCUUCAGCGGUGGCUUUAAGCCCCAGAAAGUCGGUUUUGGUUACAGGAAUGGUGCUCUGGGAGCUGGGCUCUUCCUGGAAGCCCGCCCACAGCCAGGGUUCCCUGGGGCUGAUGGCUUUAGGAAUGGGUUCAGGGGGGAGGAAGCACUGGUGCACCCCGAAGUGGCAGCUCCAGCCCCUGAAGGAAAUGGUCAGGCCAGGGCCCUGAGGGGCUCUCCCUGGCCCUCCCUGCACUCCUGGGGGGCUGCCCUGAAGGCCAGAUAUGGAGCUGGAAAUGCACUUCCAGAGGUCCAGAGCCAGCCAGGACGCUGCCCUCUCGGGAAGUGCUGAGCUCCGCUGAGAUCCACGGCCUGUCCUGAAGGCCUGUGUUGGAGCCUGGUCAGCUAGGCAAGACUGGCCGUACCCUGGGGCUCAGUCUCUGGCCUGGGGGCUCCCGUGGCUGGAAGUGUCAAUAAAGGCAGUGAGCUUCCCUGUCUGUCCCUGUGU
rnacentral:lncRNA from 1 species